UAUUUGAGAUUUGGGCCGAGCAACAAGACAACAAGACAAAGACAUGCAAAUAACUUGGCCAAAUGCUGUUGCCACCGCUCAAAGCAAACGCUCACCGGGGAGCAAUUUGUUUUUCAAAAACCAAAAACUACCUAUAGAGAGUCGACAUCCCCCCUCCCAAGUUGCAAGCAACCCUCGGCGAAUCAAAGCGUUGUGUGGCUUGUAAUAAAAUGCAAAAGAAGCAGGCGAACACAAAAAAAAGUGGAGAGAACGGAGAAGGAAAAGGGCGACAUAGUGAAAAGCUCUACGCGAAGUUUGUGCCACCUCAUCACCACACCACCACCUCAAUGGCAAUCCGAUAAAACUUGUGAGCAGCGGCAAACAGCAGACAAGCAAUGAUUCCAAGCUGGCCAAGACUACGACUGUUUGGGCCAAGGAACAGCUGCCAGACGCCGGGCAAGUCACAGAGGAGGGAAGGGAAACUGUGGGAGAGGUAAAGUCUCAAUCUCAGCGGCUGGAAUUAGGCGUUUCCGUUCAAGUGGCCCACAGACCUGGCUAACAAUUUGAAAAUUUAUGCUACCCAUCGUGAGAAAGAUUUUACUGCUGAUUUUUGAUUGUGCAACUGGGAGUCACUGUGGCAGCUACCUUUUUGGCGUCGCGUCCGCGUCUCUUAAGUGGCAAAGCGGCACAAUUGGUUUGGGACUUGUUUCAAUUAAGGCGCAUUACAGACUCUCGCAUUCUCUACCUUCGAUUGGCUGCGAAAGUUUUUCUGGUUUGCUGGCCGUGAUUCUAUUAAAAAGUUUGGGUAAGAGAGAGCGAGAACACGGCAUAAAUAGUUUUUGGUGUGCAACGUAAAAAAACCAAGAAAAGUAAUUAAAAUUCAAAUAGCAGACAAACA